GAUCCUGGCUCAAGAUAAACGCUGGCGGCGCACAUAAGACAUGCAAGUCGAACGGAAGUCGUUAUAAAAAGAGAGAAGAUUUAUCGGAUUGAAUUUUAUAACAAUGGCUUUAGUGGCGGACUGGUGAGUAACGCGUAAGGAACCUACCUAUUAGAGGGGAACAACAAUGAGAAAUCAUUGCUAAUACCGCAUAUGCCAUAACUACCGCAUGGUAGAAGUGGGAAAGGAGUAAUCCGCUGAUAGAUGG
rnacentral:rRNA from 1 species